rnacentral:rRNA from 1 species
GCCUACGGGGGGCUGCAGUGGGGAAUAUUGGACAAUGGGCGCAAGCCUGAUCCAGCAAUGCCGCGUGAGUGAUGAAGGCCUUCGGGUUGUAAAGCUCUUUUGCCUGCGACGAUGAUGACGGUAGCAGGAGAAUAAGCCCCGGCUAACUUCGUGCCAGCAGCCGCGGUAAUACGAAGGGGGCUAGCGUUGUUCGGAAUUACUGGGCGUAAAGGGCGCGUAGGCGGCCCUGUCAGUCAAGCGUGAAAGCCCCGGGCUCAACCUGGGAAUUGCGCCUGAUACUGCAGGGCUUGAGGGUCGGAGAGGAUGGUGGAAUUCCCAGUGUAGAGGUGAAAUUCGUAGAUAUUGGGAAGAACACCGGUGGCGAAGGCGGCCAUCUGGACGACAUCUGACGCUGAGGCGCGAAAGCGUGGGGAGCAAACAGGAUUAGAUACCCCAGUAGUCCGG